AGGUUUCCCUCUGGAGAAAAAUACUUCAGAAUAUGGUUAUGAUGACACUGGAUUAUCCUAUGAGAACCUCAACAAGGACAACCCAACAACUGUAUCUGAGAGACAUGGAGAAGAACAUGGAUAUGACGAUGUGGAUCUUAAUGAUUUGACUCAUCCUUUGAACCCUGAAGAAACACUCGGAGCACAUGACAGUAAAGACGAGUUGGGACCAUCUUGGGAAGACUUUACUGACAAACAUGAUGAUCAAAAGGCUUCCAUAUCCGACAAUCAAGACAAAGUUCCUCUC